ACGGCCAUACCUAGGCGAAAACACCAGUUCCCGUCCGAUCACUGCAGUUAAGCGUCUGAGGGCCUCGUUAGUACUAGGCUCCUCUUUAACAUGGGUUUCACUGUCUAUUAU